rnacentral:rRNA from 1 species
UUGAGCGGAGAUAUAUGGAGCUUGCUUUAUAUAACUUAGCAGCGAACGGGUGAGUAACACGUAGAUAAUCUAUCCUAUACUGGGGGAUAGCCCGAUGAAAGUUGGAUUAAUACCGCAUAUAGCUAUAUAGUUGCAUGAUUAUGUAGUGAAAGAUUUAUUGGUAUAGGAGGAGUCUGCGGCACAUUAGCUAGUAGGUGAGGUAAAGGCUUACCUAGGCGACGAUGUGUAGCCGGUCUGAGAGGAUGAACGGCCACAAUGGAACUGAGACACGGUCCAUACUCCUACGGGAGGCAGCAGUGGGGAAUAUUGCACAAUGGGGGAAACCCUGAUGCAGCAACGCCGCGUGAGUGAAGAAGGUUUUCGGAUUGUAAAGCUCUGUUAGCAGGGAAGAGGAAGGACGGUACCUGCAGAGGAAGCCACGGCUAACUACGUGCCAGCAGCCGCGGUAAUACGUAGGUGGCAAGCGUUGUUCGGAAUAACUGGGCGUAAAGGAUGCGUAGGCGGUUAAACAAGUUAUAUGUUAAAUAUAUAGGCUUAACCUGUAGAAAGCAUAUAAAACUGUUUAACUAGAGUGCAGGAGAGGUAAGUGGAAUUCCUAGUGUAGCGGUGAAAUGCGUAGAGAUUAGGAAGAACACCAGUGGCGAAGGCGACUUACUGGACUGUAACUGACGCUGAGGCAUGAGAGCAUGGGGAGCAAACAGGAUUAGAUACCCUGGUAGUCCAUGCUGUAAACGAUGGGUACUAGGUGUGGGUUGUGAAUAACAAUUCGUGCCGUCGCAAACGCAAUAAGUACCCCGCCUGA